ACUGGGCAUUGCAGCACUGAUGGUAGUUUGCGUGAUUUUUGUGAUGGGUCCUUGUUCAAGGAGCAAGAGUUCUUCAGGCAACACCCAACUGCUCUACAAAUAUUUCAUUAUUGUGACGAUUUGGAAAUAUGCAAUCCGCUAGGUUCAAAUGUCAAAAAGUGCAAACUAGGAGCUUUCUACUAUGUGUUAGGCAACAUUGAACCUAAGCAUAGAUCUUCUCUGAGAGUCAUCCAGCUUGUGACCUUAGUUAAUUAGAACUAAACUGGUUGAUGAAUAUGGUGUAGAUGAAAUGCUUAAGCCAUUUGUUGAGUCGAUACUGCAACUCAAACAGGGAGUUUCAUUUACUGUUGGAAGCAGGCAGGAAGCAGUGACACUGUUUGGUACUCUGGCUCUGGUCUGUGCUGACAACCUAGUGGCUCACUCCCUGGCAGGCUACAAAAGUCUUCAUGCAGCAGUCAGAAGAUGUCGCUUUUGCUUGGCUACAAAGGACGACAUGAUAACAAAGAGUUGGACCACUACAACACGUUUGGUGCACGCACUUUGAGGCCAAGCACAAGUAGUUCAAGACUUUGGCUGGUGUUAUCAACAACUUUAUAAACAUUUCCAAAUUAUUAGCCUUUCCUCACCAGCUUCAAUUGUGCUUCCAGCUUUCAGAUAUUUUCCUUAUUAAUAAGGAACCAGAAUUUGGAUCCAUAUCUACUGUUCUACUUAAACAAUUUGAACAUAAAGAACUCUUGAAAUUGCAUGGGCCAAGUCUUGAUGAUCAACUGCCUGUCAACAAGUUAUAGGUCUUCUCCCAGAUGUUGCAAAACUUUGUCUUACAUGUUGUCGACCGUCUACCUUUAGAGCAGUGUCGGUGGCCAUAAAUGGCACAAGUUAUCACACAGGAGAUAUUCUGGUUCUUCGAUGUGUUGAUGAUUUUCCUGAAUUUGGUGAAGUCAAAGAAAUAGUGAUUGGCACUGAAAGGGGAGUGGCGUUUAUAGUCUUUGUUCUGCAGACAGAUUCAUAGUGCUUUAACCACCAUUAUCAUAGUUAUGAGGUCAUAGAGUAUGAAGAAUUUAGUUUGGUCAAGCAAGAUUAAUUGCUUGACUUUCACUCUCUUUGUUUGCAUAAUUUGUUGGUAUCUGACAGUGCAGUAAAGUUUGUCCAGCUCAAAUAGAAUAUAAUUCUGUAAAAUUGUGACAUGAGCUGUUUUCU